rnacentral:lncRNA from 1 species
CCUUCUUUGUGCAGUUUUUUUGUAAGAGGAGCUCCACAAAGUUCAUCAUUGCCAAUGAAGCUAAGUGCAUCAAAGCUUUGAAGCUGACUGCUUGAAGGUAUUGUUCGUGAUAAAUUGUUGUAAGACAGGUCCAAAUGAUCAAGGAAUGAUAAAUUUGUCAUGCUUUCAGGAAUUGCACCUGAAAGAUGGUUUCUUGACAAAUCCAAAGAUUCCAAGGUUUCCAUGCUCCCAACUUUUUCUGGUAUCCUUCCAAUUAAAUGAUUUUGAGACAAGUUCAAAAACCGCAACCCUGAGAGACAUGAGAUUUCAGUAGGGAUUGAUCCUGACAAAUUGUUACUCGAAAAGUCAAUUGUCCUCACCAGUCCAAGAAUACUGUCAUACUCUGAUUUCCUCCCUUUAACCACUAAGGAAAGAUCCUCGUACUUCAAGUAAUUGUAAUCAAACAAAACUUUGAAGUUAUCAUCAACUGCAGUGUCCAUUCUUGCCAUUGUACUAAAAUUGUUUAUGCAAUUUGGUAUGGCUCCUGAUAAUGUAUUAUUAGCAAGAUCCAACACUAUAAGAGAAGAAAGUUGGCAUAUUUGUGGAGGAAUGUUGCCAAUGAAUUUAUUGGAUCUUAAAGAGAGAGCCAUUAGAGUGGACAUUUCCCCUAUCCAACUUGGUAUAUUCCCUGAGAAUUUAUUUUCAGCUAAAUCCACAAGGCCCAAAAAUGCACAGUUUUGCAGUGAUACUGGUAUAUCUCUGACGAAGCUAUUAGUGUACAAAUGCAAUGCUUUGAGAGCAAAUAAAGAGCCUAUGGAGUUGGGAAUUUUACCAGAUAGAUUGUUGUCUCCAAGGUUCAAAUGAGUCAGAGAUGGCCAAUACAUCAAACAAUUCAAAAGUUUCCCUGACAAUGAGUUAUUUGAUAAAUUGAGGACCUCCAAUUUACUUCCUCCAUUAACCUUUCUGCACAAGAAAGAGGAAAUCCGUCUUGGAAAUGGAUUGUUGGCAAUUCUCAACUCGAUAACGUUCUGUGAUAAAUGUGGUAACUGGCCUGUGAAACAAUUAGAACUCAGAUCGACCUGAGUAUUAUUCAGCAGAACUUCAGAUAAAUCCCCAGAUAUCUGGUUAUCAGAGAGAUGCAGGACAUGUGGAAUUUGUGAAGCCCACUUCCACAACCAGCUAGGAGCAGCGUCCACAAUUCCUGAGUUGGAGAUGUAUAGACUCUGAAGAGAUCUUUGUGUUUGCAGCCAUGCUGGAAACUUAGGGCCCAUCUUGCAAGAAAUAAUCUUCAUAUAUUGAAGUUGAAAAGGAGGAAUCCAAUUUGAGCUCACAUUGAAUGUUAGAUACGUCCAAGACAUCUCUAAGUACUUCAAGUUUGAGAGUUUGGUAAAAUGUACUUCUGAUACAAUUCCUGCCAAAAGGUUUCUUCCUAAAAUUGUAGAAAAAGGACUACAAAUGCAUCAACACUCAAUUCAUUUUCAUGGCAGCAGUGCCUAAAAGAGAUUAUUAAUUAAUAUCGUAACACAACAGCAAUAACAUAUAUAGAAACUUCAACACAAAAGAUAAUUACAGCAAUGCGAAAUUAAUAUUACCACUUUGAAUACUAUAAAGUGCUCUUUGGCCAUGCCAUUGAAGUUGUUGAAACAUGUGAGUAUGAUACACUCCCUUGGAGAUCAUCCUGAAACGAAUUUGAAAAUAAGAGUAAGAGGCAAUAGAUUUGGAAAACAUGUCAGUAUAUGAUUUGAAAAUAAGGGUAAUCAUAUAUCUUUUCCUUACCAGCAUGGUAUCUUCUCAACUUUUGGUGGAACCACUUCAGUUUUAUUGGUAUAGCCACAUAGGCCCGGUCCCUGAUGUCAUAAAGAAACUGGAAAUAAGCAUACCUCCAUGCUCUCUUGAAAAAGAGAGCUCCACAAACUCCCCAAAACCCCACAAUGAAUCCUGAUCCCAUGCCAAUGUAAAACCAUGAGAUUUCUGGAAAUUCUCUGUUUUCUUCUACAGCAGUGGGACCUAGAGUCUCUUCAUCUUUUGUGCAGUUUUUCAUAAGAGGGGCUCCACACAGUUCAGGAUUGCCAAAGAAAGAAAGUGGAUCCAAGCUUUGAAGCUGGGUGCUUGAAGGAAUUCUCCCAGAAAAGUUGUUGAAUGACAGGUCCAGGUAAUCAAGAAAUGUUAAAUUGCUCAUGCUCUGAGGAAUUUCACCUGAAAGAUGAUUUCUCGAGAGAUCUAGAGAUUCUAAUGAUGCCAUCACCCCAAUUUUCUCUGGUAUCCUCCCCAUUAAAUGAUUUCGAGAGAAGUUUAGAAAUAGCAGGCCAAAAAGACUUGAGAUUUCAAUUGGGAUUGAUCCAGAUAAAUUGUUACUUGAAAGGUCAAUCAUCCUCACAUAUUUAAGAAUCUUUUCGUACUUUGAUUCCCUCCCCUUUAUAUCUAAAACAAGACUUUCCAUGUAAGAUUCAUCAUAAAAAUGAUAGCCUACUUCCAAAGCAUCAUACCCAAUAUAAUAAUUAGGUCCUGCAGCCAUAGCACUGAUAUUAUUCAAGCACUUGGGUAUUGAUCCUGACAGACUAUUAUCAGCAAGAUCCAACACUAUAAGAGAAGAAAGUUGGCAUAUUUGUGGAGGAAUAAUGCCCGUUGAAUUUAUUGGAUCUUAAAUGGAUAACCAUUAGAGUUGUCCUCUCAAAAAUCCACCUGGGUAUAAUCCCCGAAAAUUUAUUGUCACUUAGAUUUAUCAGCCCCAAAACCUUGCAAUUCUCUAGUGAUGAGGGUAUUUCUCCAUAGAAUGAAUUGUUUUGCAAGCUCAAUGCUUUAAGUCCGACCAAAGAACCCAUGGAAUUAGGAAUUUUACCAGAUAGAUUGUUGCUUCCCAGGCUUACAUGAGUAAGAGACGACCAAUGCAUCCAACAAUCAGAAAGUUCCCCUGAUAAAGCAUUAAUUGAUAUGUCAACGACCUCCAAUUUACUUCUUCCAUUCAUCUUUUGGCACAUGAAAGGGGAAAUCUGUCCCGAGAAUGAAUUGUUAGCAAUAUUCAACACAACAACAUUCGGAGACAGACGUGGCAACCGACCUGAGAAGCAGUUAGAACUCAAAUCAAUGAUAGUAUUAUUUAGUACAACUUGGGAUAAGUCCCCAGAUAUCUGGUUGUUAGAGAGAUGGAUCUGUUCGAUGUAUGAAGCGAACUUCCAGAACCAGUUUGGAGCUGUGUCCACAAUUCCAGACCUGGAGACGUCUAGACAGAAAAGAGACUUUUGUGUCUGUAGCCACGCAGGAAAUUUUGGACCCAUUUUACAGGAAUCCGCCUCCAGAUACUCUAGUUGGAAUGGAGGAGUCCAACUGGAGUUCACAUGGAAAGAUAAAGAUGUUCCAGAUAUCAAUAAGUCCUUCAAUUUUGAGAGUGCUGUAAAAUGUACUUCUGAUAUGGUCCCUGUUAAGGAAGUCCCUCGUACAUUUAAAUUCUCCAAAUUGGAUAGAAACCACAGACUCAUUGGAAGAGUGCCAUUAAUCAACUGAUUUUCAGAAAGACCCAAAGACCUCAAGGAUGAUAAGUUUCCUAUGGAUGUAGGAAUAGGGCCAUGAAAGGAAUUGAAAGAAACAUCGAGAUAUUCUAGAUAUUUGAGUUGUCCUAAAGACUCUGAAAUUUGCCCCUUGAAUUGAUUGUCUAAUAGACUUAGAGACACAAGACUACUGAGAUUAAACAACCAAUUUGGUAUUUCUUGAUUGAAAUUGUUCUCAGAAAGAUCAAGAAAUGUGAGAGAUGUGAAAUUGGCAUACCCGAAAGAUGAAGUUUUAUUGCUAUUAAGUUCACAAUCGGACAAGUGCAGCUCUGAAAGAGAAGGGAACAUAGACACGGAUUCAAGCCAAUGGACUUCCCUGUGAAGGUCAACCCCAUUCAUGCCUAGGUACUUCAAAAAAGCAAGAUGAGAAAUCCAACCAAGAUUCUCAACGUACAACCCAUUGUUAUAUCCCAGAUCCAGGUGACGAAGAGUCGAGAGAUUUCCAAGCUGAUGAGGGACUAGUCCACCAAAUCCAACAGAGGUGAGGUCAAGAUAUCUCAAACUCCCCAUGGAACCCAGGAAACUUGGAAUUGGACUACCUCCAAAAUCAUUCCAACUCAAGUUCAAGUAACUCAAAAAUUCUAAUUCAAGCAAAGCAGGGCUAAUUUCACCACCCAAUCUAUAGAAUUCAUAAUCAUCCGCGUCAUAUGGAUUACCGAGAUGGAGCUCAACCACUCGCCCUGUAACGUUGUUGCAGCGAACUGCUUCCCAUCUACAACAAUCUUGAUUGACAGACCAAGAUGAGAGCCGGUUGCCAGGAUUAGAGAGAGCUUUCUUGAAUCUUAGAAGGGCAUGUUUCUCUUUUUCAUUGCAAACCAAAGUGUUUGGGUCACAUAAGAUUGAGAUGGUGGAGGAGAGAAAGCAAAGCAAGGGAAACAAAAUGAUGGGUCUGGAGUUUCUCAUGGUUGCUUAAUUACAAACUAGAGUGAGAAUGAGAGUGUGAGUAUUUGAAAGAAGAAAAGGGACAUAUAUAAUAUAACUCAAGGGCUCCUUUUUAUGGUUACAAGCUCAUGUUUUCUGCAGUCAAAAUCCCAGAGGUAACACAAAAAAAAUCAGUUUUUUUCUGUUUACCAAUAUGUACUACUUCAUCGAAAAUGAUUUUCCAUAUUUUGCUAAUCCAAUAUGUACCUUUUUAAGUGUUUUGUCUCCAAGUUGCAAGACAUUGGGUCAAUGGCUAGGUUUUCUUAUCAAUUUCUUUGAUGCAUUUUGCAUUCUCGGAGAUAUAAAUGUUAAAAAUAUUAUAUAUAUAUAUAUAUAUAUAUUUACAUUCUCUUUCUUUCUAUUGUCCUCUCCAUUUCCUUUCUAUCUCAUUCUCCUUCAAAUUUUACAAAAACCAAACUUAGUGUAAAGUUGAUCAACUGUCUCCAAAAUCUUCACUAUCAUCCAAAUACAAAGACUUAUAAUCUAAGUAAACAAAGACUUAUAGUCCAAUAGUCCAAGUAAACAAAGACUUAUAGUCCAAGUAAAUGCAUGGGGACAAAUUUUUCACAACAUCCAUAAAAUGACUUAUGCUAUGGGAGAAACUAGGAUCCAAAAUUCAAGAAUUUAAUGUCAUACAAUCAAUGUUUAAAACAAGUAGGCAACCUUUUGAGUUCAUAUAAUUGAUUACUUGAAAGCUAUGGUUUCCUAACAUAGAAUGACAAUUUCUUUCCCUCCCAUUCUCCUUCAAAUUUUCCAAAAUCCAAACUUAGUUUAAAGUUAAUAAAUUGAACCCAAAGUUUUCACUUUUAUCAAAUAUUAGGACUUAUAGUCCACGGUGAAGGCAUGGAAACAAACUUCCCAAGGCCUUGAUAAAGAUGACUUAUGUCAAGAAAGAAAUUGGGAUCCAAAAUACAAGAAUUUAAUGUCAUAUAAUCGACGUUUUCCAAUAUGCUCAAUUUCAUAGAAAAUGAUUUUUCUCCAAUGUUUUAUUCAUCCAUUCCAUCAUAUAGGAGUCAUAGAUAGAUACCAGGAAUGACUUUUCAAGUGUUUUCCUCCAAGUUGCAUGAGGCAAGGUCAAUGGUUGGGUCUUCAUAUCAAUGACAUUGAUGCAUUUUUGCAUUCUCCAUGACAUAAAUGUGAGAAAAAAAAAAGCUAAGAGUCCUUUCCAUUUGUUUAAAUUCGGACAUCCACUCAAAGAGAUUAAUAAAGUUAAUCAAUUAAUCUGAAAGUCUUGACUAACAUUCAAAUGUGCGGACUUAGACCACAAGGCAAAUGCAUGGAAACAAACUUUUAAGACUUGUGAAGAUCUCUCUUUAGUAAUUCAAUAGUUUGAUAGCUGAAAAAGAUUUCAUUUGCCUUGAAAAGCUUGUGAUCUUCCAAAAGUCCUAAUUAUAUAAACAUUUCAAUGGCAAUGAGGUUAAAGCACCACUAUUUUAGUUUCCCCAUUUUGCUGUCAUUGCUCUAUUCCAAGCAAAUCUUAGUGAUCAUUAUGGUUUGGAAACUUCUAAAUGGUUGUUUUAUAAGUUAAAAUAACUGCAAAUGAUAUCUAUGAAAAGAUCCGAAAUCUUAUUUUAUUUUAUUUUUGUAUGGUUAAAUCAAGAGAAUAUUAUAAAAAAAGAAACGUUAAUAGAGUGCCUGAAAUUAUAUAGGAAGUAUAUCGUGGACGCCUAAAAACACCACCAAAAGGAAAGAGGGGUAACAAAAAACAAGACCCCCCACUAAGAGCUCAAUCAAUCAAUAAAAAAAAAAAUCUAUUAUACAAAGAGGACCAAAAACUAUGAAAAAAACUUAGGCCAAUCCCAUAGAUUACAAAGAAAAGAGUGUUUCAACCCUUAAACAAAAUGCUCUUGAUUUUCUAAUGAUCUACCAUUUCUUUCCUUUCAAAUUGUCUAAAAUAAACAUAAAGGAGUAAUUCACCACUCUUUUUUUUUUCCCCCAUUUUUUUACCCAUGAAAGAGUCAUGUCAUCGCAAUAGUGUUUCUUUGGCCAAAGAGGGAAGCACCUAAGAUAUGCCAAAUAAGGAAAACAAUAAAAGCCAUAAAGUCUUUGUGUUAACAUAAUGAAUAUUGAUGUAACUAAUGGAUUCUUCCUUUAAAUGAUAAAGGAAACAUCUGUUUGCCAAAAAUCACUCUCUCCUCUAUAAAUGAUCCAAGGUUAAAAUCUUUUCCCAAAUAGUUGUCUUUAAAUAAAAAAACCACUUAUUAAAUUGUAGAAAUCACCCAAAAGGGGAUUUGAAUGGGGUGUUAGAAGUUUUUUCAAAACAAUCAACCAAAAGCUAAAAGGAUGAGAAAUGAAGAACAAAACAACAAUAAUAAAAAGAGAAAUGCAAACUUUUUUUAUAGUGACUUGAUAAGCCGCCUACAUCCACUCUCGUCUAACUUCUAAUUGAAUAAGGGUAUCUUCAAGACUUUUAUAGCCAAAUUCUCCAUACUUCUAACAUUUGGAUUUUAAGGUUCCAAUUGACGUUCACAAACUCUUUAAGUACUUAACCUAUUUGAAAACUUUUCUCUCACAAGGAGAAGGUAAGAAAAUAUUAACAAACUCCAAACCUAGUAGCAAGUUAAGCUCAAAAUACAAGUAGAAGUUAGGAUGGAUUUGAAGGUAGACAAAAAGAAUUGUAAGUGAGAAAUCAAUGCACCUUGAUGAAGACCUUUUAAUGAGAGAAAGAAUAUUUUUUCAAUUGAAUGUGGAUGUUCUCUUAUCAAUAAAUACUUUAAAACUCUCUAAUUUGUAGCUUUCUAGCUUGAGGACCCCAAAAGCCAUAGAAAGGCGUUAACCGAUUAAGCAACUUAAACGAAUGGUUAAUAAAAAACAAGGAUUCAUCCAUUUCUUUGAUAAAAAAAAUAUUGUUUUAAGCUGAAGUAUGAAAAUAAACUUUUAAGUGUAUAAAAAAUAACUUAAACUUAAGUGCAUCGACAAAUACCAUCUUAAAAUAUAUCAUUGGUUACUUCACAUUUUUUUUAUUUGUUUCACUAGAUUACAUACAUUCAUGUAAACUUCUUCAUAAUUUCUUUUGCAUACCCUUCUUGAGAAAUAAAAAUACCAUUUUUUGUUUGAUUCACUUCUAUGCCAAGAUAGUACGACAUGAGACCAAGGUCAAUCAUCUCAAACUAGCGAGCCAUUAAUAUUUUGAACUCAUAAAACAUGGUAGGCUUGUUUCCAAUGAAGAUUAAGUCAUCCACAUGGUUGGCUUGUUACCAUUAUUUCUUUGAACUCAUAAAACAUGGUUGGCCUGAAAGUCUAGACUACCAUCUGAAUACAUGGACUUUGUCCAUUGAUGAUGAACACAUCCAGAAACUUUCAAGACUUGUGACAUCUCACUUGACUUCAGUAAUUUGAUAUUUGAAAGAGAUUUUUCUUAGACUUGCAAAGCUUCCGGUCCUCCCAAGUUCCAAUUGUAUGAACAGUUCGAUGGUCGCGGGCCUGUGGCAUCAGGCACCUCAAACCUCAAUAAUUCUAUGACUCACUGUGAGACACCGCAGUAGACUAACAUAGUUUCAUGAUCAGCAGUCAGACAUUCUUCCAGUUACUGGCUCUUUUAUUAAUUGAAAAUUGGUGUCAAAUAAUAUAGCUGAAAUGACUGAAAAUUACAUCCACAAAAACAUAUGAAUCUUCAAUUCAUUAUGAUAUAACAACAAUCAGCAACACCUAUUUUUAUGACAUAACAUCAAAUGACAUAGUAGAAAGUAUACUAUAAAGAACAGCAUUAAUGAAGUCUUCUCUGCUUUCUUCAAUGUGGUUCACACCUUGAAAAUCUUCCUUCUUUGUGCAGUUUUUUGUAAGAGGAGCUCCACAAAGUUCAUCAUUGCCAAUGAAGCUAUGUGCGUCAAAGCUUUGAAGCUGAGUGCUUGAAGGUAUUGUUCCUAAUAAAUUGUUGUAAGACAGGUCCAAAUGAUCAAGGAAUGAUAAAUUUGUCAUGCUUUCAGGAAUUGCACCUGAAAGAUGGUUUCUUGACAAAUCCAAAGAUUCCAAGGUUUCCAUGCUCC